CUGCUCACGAUGCAACAUAUUUCCUGUUUGACCAGGAUUGGCAACUCCAACCCCCCUGGCCGGUGGGCCCGUGAAACCCCGCCAGCGGAGUGGUUGUGGCGAUCGGGCCGGUCGUCUACGAUGAUGCAGCUGGAGAAGAGGAAGACGAGGACGAAGAGGAGGCGUGUGUCAGCGCCAUGGACCUGUUGGGCAGCAACGAUUAUGGCAGUGACGGAGGAGAUUACGACGAUUGAUACCGGUCUUCCCUGGGUUAUUAUGCCGAACUAUUACCGACAGUUUUAAGUGUAUCAAAUGUUUUUCUACCGGGGACACAAAGUGGCUGCCGAGAGGAACCCCCGCCACGUGUGAGAGCAAGGGAAACAAAAAUCGCACUCCUCGUCCCACUUGGAGUCUCAAACUGGGAGCACGCGCAGCUGGGAGGCUGAAGACGGUGAAACGAGGGACGCAGGUAUAUUAAUCAUUGUGUGUCACAGGACACCUGUCACGGUAACGCAUCAGGAUCAAACGUUUGUUGAGGUCAGAAGACAUUCAGGUUAUUAACAGCAUUUAAAAGACUUUAUUUAAAUGUAAGGAUCUACUUCACACUGAAAUCUAGUUAUUUAAAUGCUGCUGACGCUAACAAACAUCACUUCUAACUUCUAAUGUCGUGCAAAACACCAAAGCAGUGAUUACGGAGCAGCAUUAAUCAGGACGGUUGUUUUUAUUGAGGUUUAAUGUAGCAAAAAGAAACGUAUUCUCCUCUAACUCGCACUUUGCAUUCAUGACACUUGAACGCUUCCUGAUGACUAAUGCUUCUCAAAGCUAGUAUCCUAACAACGACGUGCACUUGAUGCAUCCAACAAUCAGGUAACGUGAGAUCUUUAACCCGCCUCACUGCCCAGAUGUUGUGUUUAUUAACGCCUCAGUGCUGAGCGGAGCGCCGUCCGCUCUGCUCCACGUGUUACAAUAAUGUUGCCUUUAAACAAUUUAAGCAGGUUUGCUGAGAAGUUAUUGAAUCCCAGAUCCUUUCAGAUGAAGUUAGCGUUGGGGAUUGUGAUGGUUGGUUAUUUUUAAGGUUUUCCUCUUAUGAUUUAAUUUGAGUGUCCUUUUGAUUUGUGUUAAAUAUUGUUCACGGGCCACGGAGGCGUUUAAAGCCAGGAUGUAAAUACAUUCUCUGCAAUAUUAUAUUUUCCAAAUAAGUGAGGAGAACCCGAUCAGAGAAAAGAUCUAUUUUGUAUUUAAGAUUUUAUGAUUUUUGUGUGGAAAAUGAAAUGUGAGGCCUUUUCACUGUGUCUCUGUUCACCUCCGCUGCCUGCUGCUACAAGUCGUGAUGUUACAUCUGCACCUGCUGCUACAGUAAAGAAAUCA
rnacentral:lncRNA from 1 species